rnacentral:rRNA from 1 species
GACGAACGCUGGCUGCGUGCUUAACACAUGCAAGUCGAACGCUGAAACCCUGGUGCUUGCACCGGGGUGGAUGAGUGGCGAACGGGUGAGUAACACGUGAGUAACCUGCCCCCGACUUCGGGAUAAGCCCGGGAAACUGGGUCUAAUACCGGAUAUGAGCGCCCCUCGCAUGAGGGAUGCUGGAAAGUCUUUUCGGUUGGGGAUGGGCUCGCGGCCUAUCAGUUUGUUGGUGAGGUAAUGGCUCACCAAGACGACGACGGGUAGCCGGCCUGAGAGGGCGACCGGCCACACUGGGACUGAGACACGGCCCAGACUCCUACGGGAGGCAGCAGUGGGGAAUAUUGCACAAUGGGGGAAACCCUGAUGCAGCGACGCAGCGUGCGGGAUGACGGCCUUCGGGUUGUAAACCGCUUUCAGCAGGGAAGAAGCCCCUUGGGGUGACGGUACCUGCAGAAGAAGUACCGGCUAGCUACGUGCCAGCAGCCGCGGUAA